rnacentral:rRNA from 1 species
GACGAACGCUGGCGGCGUGCUUAACACAUGCAAGUCGAACGAAGUGGCGAACGGGUGAGUAAUACGUGGGUAACCUGCCCUCCUUUUUGGGAUAAGCCUUGGCAACGGGGUCUACUACCGAAUAAAGGGGGAUGGGCUCGCGGCUUGUCAGCUGGUUGGCGGGGUAAUGGCCGACCAAGGCGGUGACGGGUAGCCGGCCUGAGAGGGUGAGCGGAGACAGUGAGACUGUGAGACGGCCUAGGGUCGUACGAGGGGGAGCAGUGGGGGCUAUGGCACAAUGGGUGAAGGCGUGAUGCAGCGGCAGCGAAGGGGGGAUGAAGGCGUUAGGGUUGUUAAGCUGAUACGCUAUCGAACGGGUAGGUGGAGAAGAAGCACCGGCUAACUACGUGCCAGCAGCCGCGGUAAUAC